GACGAACGCUGGCGGCGUGCUUAACACAUGCAAGUCGAACGGAAAGGCCCUGCUUUUGUGGGGUGCUCGAGUGGCGAACGGGUGAGUAACACGUGAGUAACCUGCCCUUGACUUUGGGAUAACUUCAGGAAACUGGGGCUAAUACCGGAUAGGAGCUCCUGCUGCAUGGUGGGGGUUGGAAAGUUUCGGCGGUUGGGGAUGGACUCGCGGCUUAUCAGCUUGUUGGUGGGGUAGUGGCUUACCAAGGCUUUGACGGGUAGCCGGCCUGAGAGGGUGACCGGCCACAUUGGGACUGAGAUACGGCCCAGACUCCUACGGGAGGCAGCAGUGGGGAAUAUUGCACAAUGGGCGGAAGCCUGAUGCAGCAACGCCGCGUGCGGGAUGACGGCCUUCGGGUUGUAAACCGCUUUCGCCUGUGACGAAGCGUGAGUGACGGUAAUGGGUAAAGAAGCACCGGCUAACUACGUGCCAGCAGCCGCGGUGAUACGUAGGGUGCGAGCGUUGUCCGGAUUUAUUGGGCGUAAAGGGCUCGUAGGUGGUUGAUCGCGUCGGAAGUGUAAUCUUGGGGCUUAACCCUGAGCGUGCUUUCGAUACGGGUUGACUUGAGGAAGGUAGGGGAGAAUGGAAUUCCUGGUGGAGCGGUGGAAUGCGCAGAUAUCAGGUGGAACACCAGUGGCGAAGGCGGUUCUCUGGGCCUUUCCUGACGCUGAGGAGCGAAAGCGUGGGGAGCGAACAGGCUUAGAUACCCUGGUAGUCCACGCUGUAAACGGUGGGUACUAGGUGUGGGGUCCAUUCCACGGGUUCCGUGCCGUAGCUAACGCUUUAAGUACCCCGCCUGGGGAGUACGGCCGCAAGGCUAAAACUCAAAGGAAUUGACGGGGCCCCGCACAAGCGGCGGAGCAUGCGGAUUAAUUCGAUGCAACGCGUAGAACCUUACCUGGGUUUGACAUGGAUCGGGAGCGCUCAGAGAUGGGUGUGCCUCUUUUGGGGUCGGUUCACAGGUGGUGCAUGGCUGUCGUCAGCUCGUGUCGUGAGAUGUUGGGUUAAGUCCCGCAACGAGCGCAACCCUUGUUCACUGUUGCCAGCACGUUAUGGUGGGGACUCAGUGGAGACCGCCGGGGUCAACUCGGAGGAAGGUGGGGAUGACGUCAAGUCAUCAUGCCCCUUAUGUCCAGGGCUUCACGCAUGCUACAAUGGCUGGUACAGAGAGUGGCGAGCCUGUGAGGGUGAGCGAAUCUCGGAAAGCCGGUCUCAGUUCGGAUUGGGGUCUGCAACUCGACCUCAUGAAGUCGGAGUCGCUAGUAAUCGCAGAUCAGCAACGCUGCGGUGAAUACGUUCCCGGG
rnacentral:rRNA from 1 species